UCGCGUCAUGCGCCGUAGGCAGGAGCGGGGGACCCAAGGUAAGCGCCGGGUCCGGAAGUCGAGGUCCUUCGGGGCCGGACGGCCGGAACCGGCUUGGGGUGAAGUCGCGCAGCACGCACCAGCGAUGCGCGACCGGGCAACUCAACCGGCCCGAACCCGACAGCUCACCUCGUAGGCGUCGGUGAGGGGAUCU
rnacentral:sRNA from 2 species